GGAAGAUUACUUGGAACGAAUGCAAAGAUGUCGAGAAUAUGUGACGCCCUUGAAGAAGAACACCGUAAGAUCCAGGUCUUCCAUCGUGAACUUCCCCUCUGCCUCGAGCUUGUUACCCAAGCCAUCAAUGCUUGCUGGAAUCAGGUUGGAACCACCGCCGCAGAGGCGGAGUAUUUCCCCGGAAGAUCUGAGUGUUCAGAGCAGACAUCAAGCGAAGGACCCAUGUUAGAAGAAUUUAUUCCUACAAAACGAAACUCUUCUUCCACAGAAGAAGAAUCUCAAAACAAAUCCAAAUGUGAAGAAAGAAACGAUAAGGAUAAACCCCUUUAGAAGACUGAUUGGUUAAGAUCUGCUCAACUCUGGAACACAGACUCAGAUCCACAAUCCCCUAAACAGGAUCAAGCAGAGAAGGCCUUGCUGAUUGAACCAAAGAAAAGUGGGUGCAUUUCAUGCUUUUAAGAGAGAUAAUAAACGGGUUACUGCAACAACAUCCAUUGCUACAAUUCCAUCUUCAGCCCAAGCA